rnacentral:rRNA from 1 species
CAGCCGCCGCGGUAAUACCGGCGGCCCGAGUGGCGGUCACUAUUAUUGGGCUUAAAGCGUCCGUAGCCGGGUUGGGAAGUCCUCCGGGAAAUCUGGCCGCUUAACGGUCAGAAUGCCGGAGGAUACUCCCAGCCUAGGGAGCGGGAGAGGCCGAGGGGAUUCCCGGAGGAGGGGUGAAAUCCUAUAAUCCCGGGAGGACCACCUGUGGCGAAGGCGCUCGGCUGGAACGCGUCCGACGGUGAGGGACGAAGGCCAGGGGAGCAAACCGGAUUAGAUACCCGGGUAGUCCUGGCGGUAAACGAUGCGGACUUUGUGUCGGACAAGCUAUGAGCUUGUCCGGUGCCGGAGGGAAACCGUUAAGUCCGCCGCCUGGGGAGUACGGCCGCAAGGCUGAAACUUAAAGGAAUUGGCGGG